rnacentral:rRNA from 1 species
UGCGUAGGCGGUCGGGUAAGUUUGAUGUGAAAUCUCUGGGCUUAACCCAGGAAUGGCAUUGAAUACUAUUCGGCUAGAGAGUCGGAGGGGGGACUGGAAUACUUGGUGUAGCAGUGAAAUGCGUAGAUAUCAAGUGGAACACCAGUGGCGAAGGCGAGUCCCUGGACGAUUUCUGACGCUGAGGCACGAAAGCUAGGGGAGCAAACA